rnacentral:rRNA from 1 species
GAUGAACGCUGGCGGCGUGCCUAAUACAUGCAAGUCGAGCGAACAGACGAGGAGCUUGCUCCUCUGACGUUAGCGGCGGACGGGUGAGUAACACGUGGAUAACCUACCUAUAAGACUGGGAUAACUUCGGGAAACCGGAGCUAAUACCGGAUAAUAUAUUGAACCGCAUGGUUCAAUAGUGAAAGACGGUUUUGCUGUCACUUAUAGAUGGAUCCGCGCCGCAUUAGCUAGUUGGUAAGGUACGGCUUACCAAGGCAACGAUGCGUAGCCGACCUGAGAGGGUGAUCGGCCACACUGGAACUGAGACACGGUCCAGACUCCUACGGGAGGCAGCAGUAGGGAAUCUUCCGCAAUGGGCGAAAGCCUGACGGAGCAACGCCGCGUGAGUGAUGAGGGUCUUCGGAUCGUAAAACUCUGUUAUUAGGGAAGAACAAAUGUGUAAGUAACUAUGCACGUCUUGACGGUACCUAAUCAGAAAGCCACGGCUAACUACGUG